UCAGAACCAUGUUAGCAACACUGGCCAAACACGGCAGGUUGUCGUCAAAUGGUAUUGUAGGUAGGUGUUCCGUGGUGUAGGUGUUUUCGUCGCCGACGCUUCUUUUUGAGACACAACGAUGGAUGUCAAGGCCUGGGCCAUCUCCAUCGUUGAAUGGGCUGCCAAGAGUCCCGGCGAGUUCAUCUACUAUGUGCUGCUCUGCUUGUCCCCGUUCUUCCUCAUCAGCGCAUUUUUGUCCUGGAAACUAGCCAAGCACAUUGAGGCCGAGGAGAGGCGCAAGAAGCAGAAGUCCAAGAAGAAAGCCAACGUGGCUGAGACAAGGCGGACCAAGGUUGACUGACAGCCAACACAAGCGCUUGCAGUGAUUAGAGCAUACUGUGCUGAGCACAGAAAAUUUUCAACUCACUGACUGCACAGGGAUUUAUGUGCUUUUACAACUUGUUUGUGAGGGGAGCAUUCCAUAUGUGCACUGCUUUUUUUUUCAUUGGAAGCUUUUUUUUUUCCAACUGUGGUUCUCAUGGUUAUGUAAUAUAACAUGGUCGCAAAAGACAAAAAUAAAACCAAGUACCAUUUGCAUCGAA